CCUCCUUACUAUUACGUCGAUGACGCACUUGAUGCAGUGCCUACACAGAUUGUUUUGUUUAUUUAUAAAGACUCGCUUCGCGAGUGUCGCGAAUAGCUGCUUAAACGGAAGAAAACUUCCUGACAGCCAUUCUGCUCGCUAAAGUGGUAGUUGUUUUUAAAUAGAAUGCUAAUCAAUAAUCUUAUUAUUGAUUAGUGUUUUUUUAUAAUGCACUAAUGUUCUUUAACAAUUUGGAAAGCUGAUAUUAAUAGUAAUCAAUCAAAAGAGUAAUUGAGAAGUCGAAAGACGCACUUUUUACUCUACUUGACUUGAAUUGCUUGUUAUCGACAACGCCGCAAGGCGGGUUAAUCGACUUGUUCGGUUAACAAANA
rnacentral:misc_RNA from 1 species